AUUGAACGCUGGCGGCAGGCCUAACACAUGCAAGUCGAGCGGAGCGGCGGACGCGUGCGUAAGACUUAGGAAUCUGCCACGUACCGGGGGAUGACGUCCAGCAACGGGCGCUAAUACCGCAUACUAUCAGAUGAGCCUAGGUCGGAUUCGCGAGUUGGUGGGGUAGAGGCCUACCAUGGCGACGAUCCGUAACUGGUCCGAGAGGAUGAUCCGUCACACUGGAACUGAGACACGGUCCAGACUCUGACGGGAGGCAGCAGGGGGAAAUAUUGGACAAUGGGCGAAGGCCUGAUGCAGCCAUGCCGCGGGGGUGAAGAAGGUCUUCGGAUUGUAAGGCACUUUAAGUGGGGAGGCGGUACCAGCAGAAUAAGCACCGGCUAACUUCGUGCCAGCAGCCGCGGUAAUAC
rnacentral:rRNA from 1 species